rnacentral:rRNA from 1 species
CCUACGGGUGGCAGCAGUAGGGAAUAUUGCACAAUGGGGGAAACCCUGAAGCAGCAACGCCGCGUGGAGGAUGAAGGGCUUCGGAGUGUAAACCCCUGUUGGUAGAGAAGAUAAUGACGGUAUCUAACGAAUAAGCACCGGCUAACUCCGUGCCAGCAGCCGCGGUAAUACGGAGGGUGCAAGCGUUACUCGGAAUCACUGGGCGUAAAGAGCGCGUAGGCGGGGUUGCAAGUCAGAUGUGAAAUCCUAUGGCUUAACCAUAGAACUGCAUUUGAAACUGUUAGUCUAGAGUAUGGGAGGGGUAGGUGGAAGUCUUGGUGUAGGGGUGAAAUCCGUAGAGAUCAAGAGGAAUACUCAUUGCGAAGGCGACCUGCUGGAACAUAACUGACGCUGAUGCGCGAAAGCGUGGGGAGCAAACAGGAUUAGAUACCCCAGUAGUC